GCCUAGCUAGUUCAGCUGGUCAGAGCAUGGUGUUGAUAAUGCCAAGGUUGCAGGUUCGAUCCCCGUUUGAGACA